AAUCAACGCUGGCGGCGUGCCUAACACAUACAAGUCGAACGAGAAAGUGGAGCAAUCCAUGAGUAAAGUGGCGCACGGGUGAGUAACACGUGACUAACCUACCCUUGAGUGGGGGAUAACCUAGAGAAAUCUGGGCUAAUACCGCAUAAUACCGAGAGGUCAAAGGAGCAAUUCGCUUAAGGAGGGGGUCGCGGCCGAUUAGUUAGUUGGCGGGGUAAUGGCCCACCAAGACUAUGAUCGGUAUCCGGCCUGAGAGGGCGCACGGACACACUGGAACUGAAACACGGUCCAGACUCCUACGGGAGGCAGCAGUGGGGAAUUUUGCGCAAUGGGGGAAACCCUGACGCAGCAACGCCGCGUGGAGGAUGAAGUCCCUUGGGACGUAAACUCCUUUCGAUCGGGACGAUGAUGACGGUACCGAGAGAAGAAGCCCCGGCUAACUUCGUGCCAGCAGCCGCGGUAAUACGAGGGGGGCGAGCGUUGUUCGGAAUUAUUGGGCGUAAAGGGUGCGUAGGCGGUUUGGUAAGUCUUGUGUGAAAUCUUCGGGCUCAACUCGAAGUCUGCAUGAGAAACUGCCG
rnacentral:rRNA from 1 species